UUCCCAACAAACCCUGCAGGCGGAGUUUAUACAAUUCAAUGUCGUUGUGGCAAAUUAAGCGUGUCUUAGUAUUUGGGACAUUGGCAAGCUGUGGACUCGUUCUUGUGAUUGGAUUAUAUUUAUUCACAAUGUCUGCCCCGACAGAGGACUGGCAGACAGCCACAUCUAUUUAUGACUUCUCUGCCAAGGAUAUUGAUGGCAACGAGGUGUCCCUCGAGAAAUACAGGGGAGAUGUUGUCAUCAUCGUCAACGUUGCCUCUAAAUGAGGGAAAACCCCAGUAAACUAUUCUCAGUUUGCGGAGAUGCACGCGAAGUACGCUGAGAAAGGUUUACGCAUCCUGGCCUUCCCUUCCAACCAGUUCGGGAGUCAGGAACCUGGCACUGAAGCUCAGAUCAAGGACUUUGCUAAGUCAUACAAUGCUGAGUUCCCAAUGUUCAGUAAGAUUGAUGUGAACGGGGAUAACGCCCACCCCCUGUGGAAGUGGCUGAAGGAGCAGCCCAAUGGGAAAGGCUUCCUGGGAAAUGGCAUCAAGUGGAAUUUCACAAAGGUAAAUAUUUCUUAUUGGUCAUCAUCAUAUAUCCCCAUCAGCAGAAAGUUGACACAGGAGUUACCCAGAUUAAUAUGCCAAGCAUUUAUCUCUGGUGAAAGCAAAGGUUGCUCAUUGCAUGCCCAUUGAGUUCAAUGUUAUAGCCUCUCUUAAUAAAAUAAAAAUGGUAGUCUUAUUAUUAUUAUUAUUGACUAUUAUCAGAUUUUGCAGUUAGAUCAUGGAAGUUUAAAGUGAUUCUCCAGAGCUUUUGUAUAAUUUCAGCCAGUAGUUUUGAAAGUAGUGCUCAUGAGCCAAAACAGGUCCCCGAAAAUUGUGCAUUACGUCAUCCAUUUCUUAUGAUAUGUUAAUUUAAAAAAAAAAUAUUACAUUACAAUAUGUUAUGAAUUUGUAAGUGUUUUUAAUCCCGGACUGAAUCUUUAAUGCAGAAUGAGUUUCAAUGUCCAUUGCUUCUUCUCUCUGUAUUUGUAGUUCCUGAUCAACAGAGAGGGCCAGGUUAUGAAGAGAUAUGGACCAAUGGAUGAUCCCAGUGUGGUGGAGAAGGAUCUUCCUAAGUACCUGUAAUUCUUCCAUGACUGACGGACUAAUGCACUGAUACUCCAUCCCCCCCCCCUCCCCGGUCAGCCAAUGGGUGUGAGUGGGUCCAUUCCCCAGACCAGUGACGGUCUGUCCACAAACCCGCCUGACGGACAGGACAGACCUGAUGAAAAUGGCGUGCAACCCCCUGGGAGGACCCCCUAUACCCAGCCAGUACACCGGAGAGGAACCCUGACCUCUACAACUGUUCCCUUUGAAUACUUAAAACGCAAUGUGCAUAAUAAAAAGUGAUCUUAGUGUCAUAUUCUAAACUACUUUGUGCUAA